rnacentral:tRNA from 1 species
GGGUCCCGGUCGGCGGGCACGGGCCCGGUCCUCGUGGGGUCGGCGACGGGCACCGCCCCCAGGACCGUCGUCGGUUCGUCCGACGAGGACCGC